rnacentral:rRNA from 1 species
AGUGAACGCUGGCGGUAGGCCUAACACAUGCAAGUCGAACGGCAGCACAGUAAGAGCUUGCUCUUACGGGUGGCGAGUGGCGGACGGGUGAGGAAUACAUCGGAAUCUACUUUUUCGUGGGGGAUAACGUAGGGAAACUUACGCUAGUACCGCACACGACCUACGGGUGAAAGCAGGGGAUCUUCGGACCUUGCGCGAUUGAAUGAGCCGAUGUCGGAUUAGCUAGUUGGCGGGGUAAAGGCCCACCAAGGCGACGAUCCGUAGCUGGUCUGAGAGGAUGAUCAGCCACACUGGAACUGAGACACGGUCCAGACUCCUACGGGAGGCAGCAGUGGGGAAUAUUGGACAAUGGGCGCAAGCCUGAUCCAGCCAUACCGCGUGGGUGAAGAAGGCCUUCGGGUUGUAAAGCCCUUUUGUUGGGAAAGAAAAGCAGCAGGUUAAUACCCCGCUGUUCUGACGGUACCCAAAGAAUAAGCACCGGCUAACUUCGUG